UGGAACUCAGGGCCCUUCACAGCUAGGCUUU
rnacentral:piRNA from 1 species